UGGAAAACAAGGGGAUCCUGGUGCUGGAUGUACAUACUUUCAUUGCAGCGGCAGAAGAAAUGGCGGCACCCUUUAGAAGCAGCAGCUAUUGAUGACCGGGAUGGCGGACAUUAUUCAACUCUUGGGAGAUAAACAAAAACCCCUUUUUGGUCCCUUUGGCUUGAAAACCCUUGGACGUGCUUCCAUUUCCCAGACCCGUGCAAUAACUAACGGCUGCAUGCUGAAGUCACCUUGGGAUGUGUUGCCAUUCAAGGGCAGCAGAGAAGCGGUCUUCCCAUUCAGCCACCAUGUGGACUCUCACUUUCUUGGAACUGCUACUAGUUGGUCUUGGACUAGAAGAAUGCAUUUACCUGUGUCGACUGCUACAUAGAACUUAACCAUAGGAAAACAAAGCCUGUUUACUUGAAGGUUUAGCAAUCAAUCAGUCCCGAAACGACUGGAAACUUCCUUCCCCUGAGCAGACUUCCGCCAAGAUACCUCCGCAGUGGACUGACCAGUGUACUUGAAUGACAUGAAUAUUAUUUCCCCCACCCUUUUUUGGUUUUGCUGAAACAUAAAAUUAAUUAACUAACUGAUCAGUAGCACUAUAUCUCCCCCAGCCCUUGGUAGGCAGCGUGAUGGUGGCAGACCCUUGGUAGCAGACAAAGGCACUCCAGGCUGGCGCCUUCUCUAAAGUAUUUACAUGAGCUAAUAAUAAACCUUUUCAGAUACGUCAGGUAUCUUCUUUAGAGAAUCCCUUUUUGUAACCCACCUUUAUAAAUAAACUGGCUAAAAGGUU